rnacentral:lncRNA from 1 species
UUUGCUGUGAAUUGGGCUUUUCCUGUAUGUGGCUCUGUUGAACCAUCUCAUCAGACAGGCCCUGAGGAGAGACCUGAUAACAUCUCUCCUGUUCCUGGCAGGUCAUUUCAAGGUUACACUGGGAAUCCCAGAACUUCUGAGCUGAAAGCUCUGAGAGUGGAUGAUUCGGCCCUUAAGCCUGAGAGGCUGAGAGUGGGUAGGGCUCAGUGCCUGGAGCAGGGAAGAGUGGAGGAGGAAGCUCAGGAGGAAGUUUGCCUGGGAACCUGGCACAAAUGUUACUCAGGAUGCACAGUGGGGGUAUUUUCGUGUGUUCAGAGGGCAGAUAUGCGGGUGACUCAACGUUUUGCCUACGUAGUGCCUCUUGUUGCUUGGCUGCCUUAGCUGAUUGAAGUCAUCAGUGGAUAAUGUAGCAGGUGCAAAUGAAUCGGCUACUGAUGGUUUAUACAACCCUGGAGGACGCCCCUACUCUCGGCCUAAUAUGGACAGAAAAUACAGUUAUUGGACUACAGCAUCAAAAUACUACAGCCCUGUGGACGAUGAAUCAGAGCAUCUCCCUCACCCACAGAGACCACAGUGUUCCACAAGAAGGGAAGAUCUGCAGUAGCAAGUCCUGCGGCGGGGGGAGGCUUCGUGUCUCCCCGUCCUAAUUGCUGUCAGUUGCCCUGCACUGAGUGCUCACGAACAAGGAAGGAGGCACUGCGUGUGGUCAUCCCAACUCCUCACAGCUGCUGAAGAGAAAACUCUCAUCCAUAUAUGGUGUUCAAUGGGUUUAUACGUUGAUGACUCCCAUCAUGUAUUUGCAGCCCAAAUUCUGACUUUUCUGUCCUCUGUCUAGAAGAUAUAUCUAUCUAUGUGUCCUUUACACUCCCUGGAUUCACCAUGGCCAAACCUCCUUUUUUUUUUUUUGAGAUGGAGUCUCAAUCUGUUGCCCAGGCUGGAGUGCAGUGGCGGGAUCUCGGCUCACUGCAAUCUCUGCUUCCCAGGUUCAAGUGAUUCUUGUGCCUCAGCCUUCUGAGUAGCUGGGAUUGCAGGCAUGUGCC